GGGCUUGUAGCUUAGCUAGGUAGAGCGUCGGGCUUUUAACCCGAUGGCCAGGGGUUCGAAUCCCCUCAGGCCCG
rnacentral:tRNA from 3 species